ensembl:lncRNA
ACAGCUCACAGAAACACUGGAUCCUUAACCCACGGAGCGAGGCCAGGGAUUGAACCCGAAACCUCAUGGUUCCUCGUCGGAUUCAUUUCUGCUGUGCCACGACGGGAACGCCCAGCGUCAUUUGUUGAGAAGAUAUAUUUUCCCCACUGUACUGCCUUUGCUGAAAAUCCAUUUUACAAAAAUAGGAGAGUUUGUUUCUGGACUCUAGGUUGUGUGCCCCGAUGUCUGUCCUUCAGGCCAGUUCCACGCUGUCUUGACAACUGUCACUUUGCAGUUGGUGUUGAAAUGAGGAAGUAGCCCGAAAAAAUUUCACUGGGGGCCGUGUUGAGCUGACGGUCUGUCUGGGGAGAACCGCUACCUUGGCAUUUACAGCUGUCCUCUCCGCGGGCAUGAAGCGCCUCUCCAUUGGGUUCGAUCGUCUGCAGCGUCUCUCAGCAAUGCUUUGUCGUUUUCAGCACACCAGCUUGGCCUUGAGUUUUCAGGGACCUCCAGCUUUGGAGACCUACUCGUGCAGAUCCUGGGGAGUCUUACCAGGGACACAUCCAUGAGGCUGACGACGCCAGGCCCAUCCAGGUCCUGUCUCCUCGGAGCCCAGGCUAUAAGUGCUCUGAUGUGGCCCCGGGCACCUUUCCAGAUGACACACAGGCAAGCGAAGAAAAUGGAAAGAUCAGGAAAGGUGACGACACGCGUCCUGCUGCCAGCCCCCAGCCGUGGUGCGGCCGUCUGCGCGCCCGUGGGCAUCUUUGCCUAUCCGACUUGCGUGUCAGGACCUCAGAUCUCAAUAAUCCCUGCCUUCUUCCCGCAGACACCUCUUUCCCUCCCCCAUCUCGCGCGGGCUCUGCUUCACCACGGCCCUGUCCUCUCAGUCGUGGUCCCUCUGCCUCUGGGGCCGGGCCGAGGCUGGCCUGACCCUGGUCCCCUCCCGGCGCUGGGGCUGUGGGCGGGGCUGAUCCCAGGCCCUGCCCACCCUCCCUGUCGGAGCUGCCGACCCAAGCUCCGCGCCCGAAGCAGGGAACAAGCACAGCCACGAAAAUGACAAGUGGGCCAUUUUUCUGGAAUCUGAGAGCUGUUAGCUCACCAGGCGAGCUCGGCAUGGGUAAGAGCUGAGCUGCUGUGUUUUCAUGAGACCGAAGGCGCAAAUGGCCCUCGGAGGCGUCGGGAACACGCUGCGGUUCACGGCGAGGUCACUGCCCUCGCGGAUACUGUGCUGGUCCUUGUUUACAUUCCGACCCCAGACCUCCAAAUUCCUGACAUUGUUGGGAACUCAGGGGCAGAGACCAGCAUGAAGUUCCAAACCUCCCCCCUCCGCCCCCCCGCCGAUGCUGGGACGUCCCGCGGGGCCUCGGACAGACAGACCCCGGUGCAGACAGACGCCGCCUGCCCUGUGGGUGGCAGGGUCCCGCCCGCCCCGGAACAGCAGGGCGUCAGGGAGAGUGGAGGAGACAGUGUCCGCAGGGCUGACCGGCAGGGCCGAUGGGCCUGGCCAGCUCUUCGCUCCAGACAUCCCAGGGCUGUCAGCACACCCCCUCUGCUCAGGGGCAAAGCCUCGGGGGCAGGGGCUCAUCGUGGCUCCUGGCCUGUGGGGGAACCAGGAAACACUCUGUCCUGGUCCUGGGUGUCCCUGUCCACUCCGGGUGAAGGGGCCUCGGAAGAAGGGAUGUGGGCAGCUCUGCUGGGAAGCACCUGUGACGGCGACUGUGCUUUUGCUGUUGGACCCCGUUGGGAAACCUCGGCAAGGACACGGCUGAGACAGCGCACAGGGUCAGGGCGGCCGAUGGGGAAGCGAGGGAGGGCAGACCCAGAGCCGACAUGGACGCUGGUGGGGGGCGGGCAGAGCUGGCAAUGCCACCAAGUGAGGAGACCCAACGUCUGGGAAAGGAAAGCCGCUUCUCUGACGGCGAGGCUACGGGCCCAGGGGUGGGGUCGGGAGGCCAGCACACAGGCCUGGUCUCCUCAGGGGCGGCCAGAGCCGGGGUGGGGGGGCGCCCAGGGCUGCAGCCCAGGGCCCUGUCACUCAGAGGCCACAUGGUCCGGGGAGGACGCACACCACGGGGAAGGCCUGACAGCCUGCCCGAGCAGAGGCUGGGGUCCGGGGCGGCCACCUCCAGGCUCCGGUGGCCAUCAGAGCCCACUAUCCAAGACUCUGCUUUGCGACCUCAAAUGAGAGAUGCUUCCCCAGUGAAAACCCGCUAAUGGGCGCGCACUUUGCUGGUGCCCCAGGCCGCUUUUCCAGCCGCUUUCUGCUCAUGUCACCAGCACGUUCCCCGAAGUGACCACAACGGUAACUGGAAGCACAAAGGCAGGGCCCACCCCCGCUUUCUCUGUUCCCCGUUUUCUCACCACUUCUUGUUAAGUCUGGGUUUGCUUCUCUCACUUUCCUCUCACGUCCUGGAUCCACUGUGUCCGCCUGGCACUUUUUUAUUAUUAAAUACCUCAUU